UACGUAGGGUGCGAGCGUUGUCCGGAAUUAUUGGGCGUAAAGAGCUUGUAGGCGGUUUGUCGCGUCUGCUGUGAAAAUCCGGGGCUCAACCCCGGACUUGCAGUGGGUACGGGCAGACUAGAGUGUGGUAGGGGAGACUGGAAGUUCCUGGUGUAGCGGUGAAAUGCGCAGAUAUCAGGAGGAACACCGAUGGCGAAGGCAGGUCUCUGGGCCGCAACUGACGCUGAGGAGCGAAAGCGUGGGGAGCGAACAGG
rnacentral:rRNA from 1 species